rnacentral:rRNA from 1 species
UACGUAGGUGGCAAGCGUUGUCCGGAUUUAUUGGGCGUAAAGCGCGCGCAGGUGGUUUCUUAAGUCUGAUGUGAAAGCCCCCGGCUUAACCGGGGAGGGUCAUUGGAAACUGGGAGACUUGAGUGCAGAAGAGGAAAGUGGAAUUCCAAGUGUAGCGGUGAAAUGCGUAGAGAUUUGGAGGAACACCAGUGGCGAAGGCGACUUUCUGGUCUGUAACUGACACUGAGGCGCGAAAGCGUGGGGAGCGAACAGG